rnacentral:misc_RNA from 1 species
AUUUCCUCUGGCGUGAGGCCUUCAACUGGAGAAUCAUGAGACUGGAGAUAUUGCAAGUGCCUGAAAUUUUCAUCUUGUUUAAUAUCUUUCACGUCCAGCAUAAUGCCUUGCCCAUUCUUCACAUUGGGCCCAGUGCAGAUCACUGAAUCCUCUGCAUAAUUUGGCUGCAAAUGUGGAUGCUUCAAGUCAUCAGUUUCUGUAGAAGUACGGCCAUCAUGGAAGAACUGCACAUUCCCCUCAGUCAUCAUAGAAUGACGACUUAGGGAAAUAAACCUCGUCUUGUGUCUGUAAAAUGGAGGAGC